rnacentral:rRNA from 1 species
UGCGAAGGGUGCAAGCGUUACUCGGAAUUACUGGGCGUAAAGCGUGCGUAGGUGGUUUGUUAAGUCUGAUGUGAAAGCCCUGGGCUCAACCUGGGAAUUGCAUUGGAUACUGGCAGGCUAGAGUGCGGUAGAGGGUAGUGGAAUUCCCGGUGUAGCAGUGAAAUGCGUAGAGAUCGGGAGGAACAUCCGUGGCGAAGGCGACUACCUGGACCAGCACUGACACUGAGGCACGAAAGCGUGGGGAGCAAACAGG